rnacentral:rRNA from 1 species
AUUGAACGCUGGCGGCAGGCCUAACACAUGCAAGUCGAGCGAGCGGCGGACGGGUGAGUAAUGUAUGGGGACUGCCCGAUAGAGGGGGAUAACUACUGGAAACGGUAGCUAAUACCGCAUACUAUCGGAUAACCCAUAUGGGAUUAGCUAGGAGGUGAGGUAAUGGCUCACCUAGGCGACGAUCCCUAGCUGGUCUGAGAGGAUGAUCAGCAAAACUGGGAAUGAGAGACGGCCCAGAAUCCGACGGAGGCAGCAGUGGGGAAUAUUGCACAAUGGGAGCAAGCCGGAUGCAGCCAUGCCGCGUGUAUGAAGAAGGCAAGAGGGUUGUAAAGUACUUUCAGUCGGGAGGCGUUACCGACAGAAGAAGAACAGGCUAACUCCGUGCCAGCAGCCGCGGUAAUU